GUCUUUUUCCCAUUGUAUGUUCUUGGCUAUUUUGUCGAAAAUUAAUUGACCAUAGGUGUGUGGGUUUUUCUUAGCAAAUUUCAAACACAGAUUAUCUACUACAGUCCAUCUAUUUCACAGCAGUAAGUCAUUGGGUCUAAAAGUGACAUAGCUGAUUUCAUAAACAGUAAGGUGAAGACCCAGCAUGAUGGAACAGUUAUCACUCUAGGGAGGGGUCCACUGUGCCAACAACUCAGAGUCUGUAAUCCCAGCCAAGGGAUUCCAAGAUAACUUGACUGAAGGGGCAUAGUAAAGGGAGAAAAGUUCAGAAGUAGAAGUUAGGACUGGUUCAAGGUCUCAUCAGAUUGUUCAGUAGUAGUAAGGCUUUGGGCAACAUGCUUCUCAAAAGUUACCUCCAUGUACUCUUUCAACUUUUUCACUCCCUAGUCACUAUUCAAUCCACACUAAUCUAGCUUCUAUCCAUCGCCACCACUUAAUGAAAUUGCUCCUCUCAAGGUCCCCAGUAAUCUCCAUUACCAAAGGACACUUCUUUGUUGUCACUUUCUUGAACUCUCAGCAGCAUUCCACAUAGGUUGCAACUCUCCUUGACACACUGGUCUCUUGGUAUCUAUGAUGUCAUAUCUUCAGUUUUGUUCUUUGUCACUGGUUAAUUUUUCUUGAUCUUCCUUGCUGGAUUCUCUUCCUCUAUCCUCAGGAAAUAUUGGUGCAUCUCAAUGAUAAGUCCUGGGACUGCAUCUUUUAACCCACUCCCUCCCUAGGUGACCUCAUGUGUUCUUGUGGCUUUCAACAUCCACUGUAGUCUAUAUGCUGAUGACUUCCAAAUCCAUUUGUCUAGCCUGACUCUCCCCUGAACCCCAAACUCAUUUAUCCAACUGCUGUUGGCAUCCUCUUAAAUGUCAAAUAGGAAUCUCCAAUUUAAUGUGUCUAAAGUGGAAGCAUUGAUCCCCCCAAACCCAGUCCUUCCCCACACCCAAUUGUUCAACCCCCAAACUGAUGGUCAUCCUGAUUCCUCUCUCUGUCUCAUUACCUACAUCCAAUUAUUCACCAAGUUGGUGUCAGUUUUUACCUAAAUCAUAAAUCUCAAGUUCAUCCAUUUCUUACUGUCUUUAUUGAUUUUACCUAGUUUCAAGCCACAGGCAUCUUCUUACAACUAUAAUAGCUUUUAACAAGUUUCCUUGCUCUACUACAUUUAUGAUGCUACAACCCAUUCUUUACAUAAAGGUAAAAUUGUCCUUUUUUGGCUUUUUAUUAUGAAGAUUCUCAAACAUACACAAGUGGACAGAGAGUAGCAUGAGCUACACCUGUCACCCAGCUUUAGCGGUUAUCAAUUCAUGGCAGUCUGUUUCAUUGAAAACCCCAUUGAUUUCCUUGACUCCUCUAGGAUUUUGACACAAAUCCCAGACAUCAUAUCAUUUCACCCCUAAAUAUUUCAAUAUAUAUCUAUAAAUAAGCACAAGGCCAUUAACAUAUCCUUAAACAUUAAUAAUUUAAAACAGCAUCAAAUAUUCAAAAAAUGUAUUUCUGAAUGUCUCAUAAAGUAUAAUUUUUUACAGUCAGGUUAUUUGAAUCAAGAUCCCAAUAAGGAGCACAUAUUGCAACUGGUUGAUAUGUCUCUGGGGUUCUCCUUCCAUUGAUAUCUCACUCCUUCACAUGCUUUUUUCUCCUCCUUUCAAUUUACGUGUUUACAAAACCAGAUUGUUUGCCCUGUAGAGUUAUAGUCUAGAUUUUGCUGAUUGCAUCUCUGUGGCUAACGUAACAUGUUCCUUAAUGUCAAAAACUGCUAAGAUGGCUUCAUAGGUGGUAUUGUAUUCUUCCAUCAGAAGUCAUGUGUUUAAUUGCAUGUCUUUUUGUGAUGUUAGUAGCCAUUGUGCUUUAUGCCUAAAUCUAUUAAUUCAUUAGAGGUUGCAAAAUAGGGAUAUUCUAAUUGUAUCAAUUCUUCGCUUAUUUGCAGGAAUACUCAUGUAAAUGAGGAACUUUCUUUUGUCUACUUUUUUAGGUUACCUAGUGGUAAAGUUUGUAUAGGAAUAGAUUUACCUUAUUUUUUAAAGAUUUUUUUUUUGACGUGGACCAUUUUUAAAGUCUUCUAUUGAAUUUGUUACAAUAUUGCUGCUGUUGGAUAUGUUUUGGUUUGUUUUUUUUUUUUGCGGUAUGCGGGCCUCUCACCGCUGUGGCCUCUUCUGCCGCGGAGCACCGGCUCUGGACGCGCAGGCCCAGCAGCCAUGGCUCACAGGCCCAGCCGCUCCACGGCACGUGGGAUCCUCCCGGACCGGGGCACGAACCUGCGUCCCCUGCAGCGGCAGGCGGACUCUCAACCACUGCGCCACUAGGGAAGCCCUGUUUUGUUUUUUUGGCCACGAUGCAUGUGGGAUCUUAACUCCCCAACCAGGGAUGGAACCCACACCCCCUGUACUAGAAGGUGAAGUCUUAAUCACUGGACCACCAGGAAAGUCCCUAGAUUUUACUUUUUAAAAACAUAAAUUGGAUCACAUCUCUGCCCUGCUUAAAGUCUUCCUGUGGCAUCUUUAUGCACACAGAAUGAAAUCUAUGGCCAGCACACACACUGUAUGGGCUCCUCCAUCAUUUUUUCGUCGUGUUCCAUCAUAGUGUCUACUUUUUUGUUGAAAUUUAAAUUAAAUUAAAAACUUGAAGUUUAUGGGAAAGGGUCAAGCCCUUUUCUGCCCCAGGAGUUUUGUACUUGCUUAUCCUUCUGCCUGGCCAUCUUCCCCCACUUUCUGCCUAGUGGGCUCCUUCUUGACCUUCAUGCUGAAAUGUCAUCUCAUCAAGGCCUUCUCUGACUGCUUCAUUUAAGGGGCCUGCUCUCCCUCAUUGUAGCUCCUGUUUAAUUCCUUUAUAGCAUCCAUCACAAACUAUAGCUAUCUUCUUUAUUUGUUUAUUAAUCAUUUUCCACCAAGUAUGCUAGCUUUGUAAGAGCAAGGAUUUUUCCUGUCCCAUACACCACUGAAUCCCAAGGCACAGCACAAUGUCUGGCACACAGUGGGUGCUUUUCUUUUUUGAAUCAACACCACAAACUUGCUGCACAUCCUCACCGAUAUAAGUGGAACACAGGGACGGGCUAGAUGAUUGUCUUUAACAUUGUUCUCUGAGGACAUAGAGACCAAGGCCAAGCUCGUCUAGUGCAGUGCUUCCUGAAUGCUUUAUGUUGUGGCACCUGGAGCAAAUGAUGUCUGAUAGGGUAGGCCACUGAGGCUGGCUGGUGGCUCACAGCCAGGGACUCAGUCCCGGCUUUCCGCACCUGGCUUGGUGCCUGAACAGACGGCCAUAGGAGUUGGGUUACAGAGAGCAUUUCUGGACUUACGGGGGUGGGCUUAUAGAUUUAGGGCAGGGUAUUCUUUUGAGUGUAUACUUUGAGGGCUCCCUGACUUUUAUGACUGUCAGGGACUCAGAGGAUUGGGACUUCCUGCAUGUCCACAGGGUUCUGAAAUCCCCCUUUCCUCUGAAAAGUCACUUUCUUCUUCAGGAAAUCCCACCAAUUUCACACUAUUUCAAAGCAUCCUCUUUUACAAUGCAAAUACUUUGGGCUUGGUUGAGAAGAUUAUGAGUAUUUUUCCUUCGUGUGAAGUAGCUUAACCAGGCUGCUUUCUUCAUAAAAUCUGAGGUAUCUAAGUUGGGUUUAGUUUAAGAGAGUCAAGGGGGAAGGGGGCAAUUUUGGAGUUUGUUUCCUUGUGUGGGCUGGAGGAGGACAGUGUGACCCAGCACAGUGGACUCAUGCGAUGAGCAAGGCUGGCUUGGACCCCCUAGGGGUGGAGACGAGGGCUUAAGUCAGCCAGCCCCAAAGUUCAGUUUCCUUAAUGCCGGAGGUUCAAGACUUUUACCCAAGAUUGCUUCAGUGAAUAUGAUGUUCAUUACCAAUGUAGGGUACAGAGAAGACCUGGAAUAGACUCCCUACUGUGUAGAAAUUCACUGAGGUCAGCAGCCACACAUAGAGGGGCCAGCCUGCCCCUGACAGCAGAAAGGCAAUGCCAGUGUGCUACAGCAUGUGAUCGGUGCACAGACCCAUCCACUCAUGCAAACUGCAACUUCUGCUUUCCCAGAAAUGCUCCUGGAACUACGGCUGCCUCCUCUUCUUCUCCCAGAAACCAGAUGCGAAGAGAUUAGCCUCUUGGGAAGACAAGGCCAGAAAUAAGGGGAACCCAGGUCAUUGCCCAAUUGGAAGACAGGUUUUCCUCCUUCACCCGACCUGCUCCCACAUCUUGAUAAAUUCCCCGGCCACUUCCGGUCCACACCUCUGUGGACAGGGGCUUGCACUCUGCUGAAGCAGAACUUGGAGAAGCUCUUCUAGAGUGGUCAUGCUGAGGCAGCCACAGUAUGAAAGGAUUUGCAGGCAUGCAGUUACAUACUUGGUAAACUACAGUGAGCCCUAAUCUUGCGACCUCUUUCUCAUUAUAUUGGAAAUGCACGUGGGUUUUCAUUCUCCUUUGGUGUGCUGACACGACAUGCUGAGGGGCUCCUUGCAUUCCUAACGUACUUAGGACAUUGACCCAGUUUCAUUCUUGCCUACCGCAAUAUCUUAGCUUUCUUGAUAGCAGAUAUUCCCAGCCUGAUUCCUGACUAACAAAGAGGUGG
rnacentral:lncRNA from 1 species